rnacentral:rRNA from 1 species
AACGAACGCUGGCGGCAGGCUUAACACAUGCAAGUCGAACGCACCUUUCGGGGUGAGUGGCAGACGGGUGAGUAACGCGUGGGAAUCUACCCUUCUCUACGGGAUAGCUCCGGGAAACUGGAAUUAAUACCGUAUACGUCCUGAGGGAGAAAGAUUUAUCGGGGAAGGAUGAGCCCGCGUUGGAUUAGCUAGUUGGUGGGGUAAAGGCCUACCAAGGCGACGAUCCAUAGCUGGUCUAAGAGGAUGAUCAGCCACAUUGGGACUGAGACACGGCCCAAACUCCUACGGGAGGCAGCAGUGGGGAAUAUUGGACAAUGGGCGCAAGCCUGAUCCAGCCAUGCCGCGUGAGUGAUGAAGGCCCUAGGGUUGUAAAGCUCUUUCAGUGGGGACGAUAAUGACGGUACCCACAGAAGAAGCCCCGACUAACUUCGUG